CAACCUCUCAUCAACAGUGACUAAUUCCACAAAAAGUCUUUGGAGAGAGGAAAGGAGCAGCUUUUUACACCAAGUUGCCAGCCAGCACACCUCCGCAGAGUACACUGAAGAUCUUGGAUCUAGCUUCCCAGCAGGCUGAGAGCACACUGAAGCACCAGGCAGAGGACACUAUUGUCUACCUACAGACUGCAGCAGCUACUACCCAAAGCUGCAAGAGCUGUUGCUUUUAUUUUCAUCUUUCACCUUUUCAGGAGGUCUUCCAGCAUAGGCUCUAAGGACAGAAUGGAGAUGAAGAAUGAACUGCUCUUCUGUUCAUAGAUGUACUCCUUUGUAUCAAAAAGAAGGCAAUGGAAGUGACCGUACAAGGCUGUUGCCUGCAUUUGUAGUCUCUUCAUAGCUGUCUGUUCAAAUUAGGACAGCAAACAAGAGAAACAUCAGAGUGCGAUUCAGAACUGACAUAGAUUUUGCCUCACUGCAGAUGGGAACCUGAAAUAAACGCAACUCAGUACAGUGUCUGGCCCAUUCCAGGGACAGCAGGUGCAGUGCAGCCGUAUGCUGUGCACAUUUCCCUCCCCACUCCCUUUCCCUGCAUCAAUCAUUGCGACAUUCCAACAAAAAGCCAGGGGAAACCCUGGAAAUAACUAGAGCAAGCAAUAAAAGCAAAACAUUGUUAACAGCCAUGAAGAGCAGUGAAGAAGUCUCACAGUGAGAUGGAGAAAGACAACAGGAUUUUUAGAUUUAUUAAAGGAUGCUUAUUUUCUUGGCAUAAAGAAAUUAUUUCUUUGGCAAGGAUGCAGAGAGAUGAUGAAUGUACGUAAAGACAGAAGGGAAAUAAUUCAUGUUUGUUCCCCUCUCCUUAUGAGUCACUUUGGCCUAAAACAUCUUCCAGAAACUUUUAGACUGAAUUUGGCUAUAUUAGGCUACAGUGAACAUCACCAGGCUUAUCUGUUUCAGAGCACUGUGAAUAACUUUGAAAUGUGGUUGCCAGUCACUACUAUGGGUAGAAUUUAUCCAUUUAGAAGAUGCUAUAAAACGUACACUUCGUUUUAAGCUGAAAAGGCAGCUAACCAUGAACAGAACUACACUAUUCUGAAGUAUAUAGCAACAUUUCUAAAAAUCAUUUCUAAUAUAUCUGUUCGUGCCUGUAGCAGUCAUAAUUAUCCUCUUUAUCCAGCAAGAAAAAAGGAUGUUACCUGUGGCCUAAAAAGCAGAGUAUGCACAAUCCAUUAUAGAAAAAUGUAACUCAAGAUUAAAUAAAAAACUGUAAGUAAAUGUGUUGUCUUUCAAACAAAAUUACUUAGAAGCCAGUUCUUAGAACAAGUAUUUUACAGUUUACAUCUAGCCAACUCUAAAAACAUUAUAAUCUACAUAAUGAUGGACAACAUAACCUGCAGAGGUAGAAGGGUUGUGUUUCGCUUCAAAAAUGAACAGCAGAAGCAAAUUUCCAGUGAGUACCUCUCAAAUCUCUGUUGGAAUAUAUCUUUAACAUGCAAUACUAUGCUUAGCUUUAGAAAACAAUAUGGCCCAAAAGAAAUAGCUUUGUAUAGUCAACAGCGUUUCAAGCCCAGAAUCCUUUCAACUCGUAAAGAGAAGGUGAAUUACUAAUGCUAACAUGCUACAGUAGGUUACACACACACGGGAAGCUGAACUUCCAGUUGAGCACCAUAUGAAAAUAGCCCAGUCUGUGCUACCCAGGACAUCUCCAUCAUAUCCACAAAAUAUCGGCGAGGACAAUCAGGAGAUUGCCUUUAAAGACAUUUUCCUAGUGUCAAAUGAGGUAUGAAUGCAUAUCCAUAAAAAAAGAAACCUGAGUACUAAGAUAAAAAUUAAAUAUUGCUCUGGAGAAUGCUUCUGUAACUCCUACAUUUGAAAUACUAUUAAGAGCUAAGAAAAUUCAGAAGUGUCCCUUUGCUCCAGUGAAAAGAUGGCAUAGUAGACUACCUGGUGCAAGUUUGAUGAAAUACCACAAACCCAAGAAUAGACACUGAAUGAAUCAGGUUUAACGCUUUCAUUAUUUGCAAUAACUUCUUAACGUGUCAGCUGGAAGAUGAAAAGCCAUGUUAGGAAGAAACAUGGUACCAAAUCCACUUCAUACACUCAAUGAAAUCACAGAGAUAAAACAUUACAUGUUUGGCCCACUUUGAAUACCAAUGCACUUAAUUCAGUUUCUCUUAAAAAGGCACUUAGUGUUUGGAAGACCUAGGGUUUGGGAUCUACCUUAGAAUACUGAUUGCACAGAAGUGGAAUUCUGAACUGUUUGCUCAUUUAAAAAAUCUUAUAAUACCAUUUUCUAAUAAAACUGGAUUCUGUUUUGUGAACAGUAGUACGUAGAAUGUCUUGAAACUUCUUGUGCAUGGAAAACCA
ensembl:lncRNA